CAGAGGCAGUGGGCACCACAGUCCACACUCAUAACCAUGACACUCUCCUGGAAAUAAAAGUAUUUCUGUGCAGGUGCUGCAAAGCCUAAGCCCUGCCGCCCUCUGAGUCUUUCCUCCUCACAGACUGGAAGAUGAGAGGCACAGCUGAGUCCCGGAGCAGACUGAGCCACCUAAGAGGGGAGGAACCACUGCAGAGAAACCAUGUCAAGCCUUUUUGAAGUUCCAGGGGGAGAACAAGAGAGCGGAGGCUCCUGGUGGCUGGUGACAGGAGGUCUCUUCUAAGUGCCUUUCACCUAACAGCAUCCUGCGCUGGAGGAGACUUUCAAGCAUGAUUAGGGCUCCCAGUCCGAUGGGGGAGACAGGACACACAUACGUGCAGUAAGGUGUGCCCUGUGAGGCUGCUGCUGAGAGGAACUCUGGUGUUCCUCAGAGUGGCUUCCCGUGGAGUUUGGAGGAGGAGGGGGUACCAAUAGGUGGAGAGGAGGAGUGGGUCACGCAGGGAAGGACCAAGAGGUCACCUUCUCCUUUCCAGCCCCAGAUGUCUUUGGUAGGAGCUGGCCCGGGCCUGGAAGGCAGUGCACGCCCACAGCGCCCUCUGCUGAACGGUAUCAGAACAGCAGGCUUGGAGGGCGAAGGCAAUUCCUACGAAGGAUCCCUGGUUUCCUACCCAGUGGGAGCCCCGGAUUCUGAAGCCAGGAAUGAAGGGUAGAUGGAGACUGGGUCAGCACCCGGGAGGGCCCGUAUGUGCAACCUGGAGGAUCUUGGAGCUUGGGAGUAGUUCAGGGGGUGGUUAGUUCAGUUCGGGAUGGCUGAGGAAGACGUUUUAAACAACUUUCUCCGCGAUCUUACUGAGGGCUCAGGAGCUGGGGACGGCCACAGUCCUGGGUAUCCAGGGCCCCUCCUUCCCCCAGGCUAGGAGAGGAACCCCUCUCAGCAGAUGCCAUCCCAGACUACCCUUGUCUCACUUAUCAUAGAGGACAUGUGCCCCUUCCUCCUUCCAGGCCCUUGAUCUGGGGUUGCUGGACUUGGUGCAUGGGUGGUCUGGAAGCUUCUAGGAUGAAUUCAUAAUUGGGAGAUUCUAGGUGAGGCUCAGAUGGAAAUGAGAACUGCUGCUUGAUGGCAGAACAAAAGAGCUUGGCAGAGCUAGACUGGACUCGACUUGGCAUUUUCUGUCCGUUUCAGACCAGGAUACAGAUUAAUUGAGCCCCGGGGAGCUCAGGUUUCCUGGGGUGGGGGCAAGCAGUGCCUUGGAGGGAGUCGGGUGCUGUGGGACGGAGGACCCAGGAGACCCGGAAUCCUGAACUGCCAGGCUGACUUCAUUGUCUACUACAGAGUUCUUGAACCCAGGAGCCCCGAGAACCUGCUUUCCUCAAUGUGUUCUACACCCGUGAGGGACCAGGAGACCCUAAUUGCCAUCCCAGCAGGACACACACACACACAUACACACACACACCCCUGACCUUUACAGGAUGCACAGUGGAGGAAAAGAACAAAGAAGCAUGUGUCUUACAAAGGGAGAGGCAGUGCCAGUCUCAUAGAGGUCAGUGAGGUACAAAGGGGACGUCAGGUCCCCCCAGCAGCCUAGAGCCAUGGUGAGGGCCAAGGAGAGGGCUUGGCUAUCACAGUGACAGCCCAUUAUCCAGCUGAAUGUCACCUAGGAGGGCCAUGCAUGUGAACAGGGUCUCUGUUCACCAUGUCAGCUUCAGCCUGGGGGCUUCUCAAAUUUUUCCCGUUGGGAGCCCUUAGCACACCACU